rnacentral:rRNA from 1 species
UCGAAAGGUUGGCUAAUACCGCAUACGCCCUACGGGGGAAAGCAGGGGAUCUUCGGACCUUGCGUUAAUGGAGCGGCUGAUAUCUGAUUAGCUAGUUGGUGAGGUAAAGGCUCACCAAGGCGACGAUCAGUAGCUGGUCUGAGAGGACGACCAGCCACACUGGAACUGAGACACGGUCCAGACUCCUACGGGAGGCAGCAGUGGGGAAUUUUGGACAAUGGGCGCAAGCCUGAUCCAGCCAUUCCGCGUGAGUGAAGAAGGCCUUCGGGUUGUAAAGCUCUUUCGCAAGGGAAGAAAACUUACUUUCUAAUAAAGAGUGAGGUUGACGGUACCUUGAUAAGAAGCACCGGCUAACUACGUGCCAGCAGCCGCGGUAAUACGUAGGGUGCGAGCGUUAAUCGGAAUUACUGGGCGUAAAGCGUGCGCAGGCGGCUUUGUAAGUCAGAUGUGAAAUCCCCGAGCUCAACUUGGGAACUGCGUUUGAAACUACAAGGCUAGAAUAUGUCAGAGGGGGGUAGAAUUCCACGUGUAGCAGUGAAAUGCGUAGAGAUGUGGAGGAAUACCAAUGGCGAAGGCAGCCCCCUGGGAUAAUAUUGACGCUCAUGCACGAAAGCGUGGGGAGCAAACAGGAUUAGAUACCCUGGUAGUCCACGCCCUAAACGAUGUCUACUAGUUGUUGGUGGAGUAAAAUCCAUGAGUAACGCAGCUAACGCGUGAAGUAGACCGCCUGGGGAGUACGGUCGCAAGAUUAAAACUCAAAUGAAUUGACGGGGGCCCGCACAAGCGGUGGAUUAUGUGGAUUAAUUCGAUGCAACGCGAAAAACCUUACCUGGCCUUGACAUGUAACGAACUUUCCAGAGAUGGAUUGGUGCUCGAAAGAGAGCGUUAACACAGGUGCUGCAUGGCUGUCGUCAGCUCGUGUCGUGAGAUGUUGGGUUAAGUCCCGCAACGAGCGCAACCCUUGCCAUUAAUUGCCAUCAUUUAGUUGGGCACUUUAAUGGGACUGCCGGUGACAAACCGGAGGAAGGUGGGGAUGACGUCAAGUCCUCAUGGCCCUUAUGGCCAGGGCUUCACACGUAAUACAAUGGUCGGUACAGAGGGUUGCCAAGCCGCGAGGUGGAGCCAAUCCCAGAAAGCCGAUCGUAGUCCGGAUUGUAGUCUGC